AACCGGGAGCCAUAAAGGACCACUUUCUCAAUCAACUGCAAUUCAAUUGUUGAUUCGCUUCCAAACAGAACGCAAUACCUGCCUCACUCAACGUUUUAAUACAACGAGAGCCAUUAAAUCCUAGUCAGGGGAUAAAUUCGUUGAUACACGCAAAUUUAAUUGAGAAAAUGAAAUUUAACGUGAAUUGCAUCAUCGCCAUUUUGAUGGUCACCACAUUAAUUGCCGUGCACGCUAAUUCGAUCGCCGCCCGUUCUAUAGAUGGAUCAGUACCUCGUGCUGAAAUGACAACAUCAACGACCCGUGAUUGGGCCCAGCUUUGCCUCGAUCUCUGCAGGACGGGGGACGGUGGAGUUUUAUGCAAUUGCGAGUUAGUUCCAAUCCGACGCCAGUGACAUUUCCCGAUGAAACCGCAUCUCUUUUAAUAUUUUACAUAUAAAAA